ACCCUCCAGAUCCCUUGCCCUUCAGACCUAAACACUGGGCCUGAGUGGUGAGAAAAGGAGGAAACAUGAAGUUGAACCUGAUUUAAGUACUUUUCAACACAGGGCUAAUUUCAAACAAAC
rnacentral:snoRNA from 1 species